rnacentral:lncRNA from 1 species
UUUAAACCUAGUUUAAACUAGUUUAAACUACAAGCUCGUCAAAAACUUUAAACCUAAACUAGGCUAAUGGCUAGUUUAAAGUAGGUUUAAACCUAGUUUAAAACAUAAUGGCGCAAGUUUUGUAGGUCAUUAUGUAACAUAAUGGCACAAGUUUUGUAACAUAAUGAACUACAAUCUUGUCAAAACAAGUUUAAACUACAAGUUUUUGCCACCGUUUGGUUCGGGGUUAAGAAAAAGUAGCUAUUCCAGGGAUAGGGUUAAGUUCAGGGUUAAGAUGGUGUUAAAAUUUUUUUGUGUUUGGUUGGAGGUUGGAGUUAGUCUAGGAUAGUGAAAAAAAGUAUUUGGUUAGAGUAGGUGGGAUAAAAAGAUAAUGAUUGAUAAAGAAGAAAAAAGGUGAGAGCUCGGGAUGCGUGCGGGGUUAAAGUUGGGAAGGGGAGUGGGGUUAAUGAUUGAUAAAGAAGAAAAAUGUGAGAGCUCGGAAUGCGUGCGGGGUUAAAGUUGGGAGGGGGAGUGGGGUUAGUAAACCCCACUAACCCGGUUUGGGGUGGGGUUUACUAACCCCACCCCAAAUGAGUGGUGUUUGGGUAUAAAUUGGGGGUUAAGGGGUUAUUCCACCCCUUAACCCCCAACCAAACGGUGGCUUAAUAGGCUAAUGGCUAGUUUAAACCUAGUUUAAACUAGGUUUAGGGUUUAGGGUUUAGGGUUUAGACCUAAAUAGGCUAAUGCCAAAAAAACUACAAGUUUAAACCUAAAUAGGCUAAUGGCUAGUUUAAAACUAGUUUUAACUAAAUUUAAGCAUAGUUUAAACCUAGUCUAAACUAACAAUACGAACAAUGCUAACAAUGCUAACAAUGUGGGUUGGUACCUGCAAUGUGGGUUGGUGAGGGAAGGUUGGCACGGGUGGCAGAUGCGGGGGUCGACGGCGAACUGUCACGGGGUUAGCUUUUUCGCCUCAAAAUUCCCCGCGCGGCGCUCAAGUGUCGCACACCCGAGCCAGCCUUCUCGAGUCCCUUACACGGACAAGUCUCCCAGACUUAACAGCGGAAUACCAAUCCAAGCAUUUUGCCAAGCUUGCUCCUCCCCGAGACUUACAGCCCGACCCUUCGCCUGUAAUCGAACCCCUCGUCGAACUCCCUGAGUUCCCAACGAGCAACCCCAAUACCGAGGUUGGCCACCAAGCUAGGUGUCUCCCGUCUUGCCAACUGAUCUCUCAUCGAGAGUGCUUCAUAACCGAAUGCCUUGCUGCCUUCGUCGCCAGUCCAAGGACAUUACAAGUUCUCCCCCAACUUGUCCAAUAUGAGUAUAGCCAAGCGUCUCGCCUCCCACGCGUUUCGCUCCCGCGACUCAACCCGCACGCCUCAAGCGUCGAGGUCCGGGCUCCGCGACAUCGCAUGCCACGAAGGGCACUCAUAACCAUAAGUUCCUC